GUCCAGACUCCUACGGGAGGCAGCAGUGGGGGAUAUUGCACAAUGGGCGCAAGCCUGAUGCAGCGACGCCGCGUGAGCGAAGAAGUAUUUCGGUAUGUAAAGCUCUAUCAGCAGGGAAGAAAAUGACGGUACCUGACUAAGAAGCUCCGGCUAAAUACGUGCCAGCAGCCGCGGUAAUACGUAUGGAGCAAGCGUUAUCCGGAAUUACUGGGUGUAAAGGGAGCGUAGGCGGCAAGGCAAGUCUGAUGUGAAAACCCAGGGCCCAACCCUGGGACUGCAUUGGAAACUGUGGAGCUAGAGUGCUGGAGAGGUAAGUGGAAUUCCUAGUGUAGCGGUGAAAUGCGUAGAUAUUAGGAGGAACACCAGUGGCGAAGGCGGCUUACUGGACAGUAACUGACGUUGAGGCUCGAAAGCGUGGGGAGCAAACAGGAUUAGAUACCCUAGUAA
rnacentral:rRNA from 1 species